UCUUGAACACCACUUUCUCUCGUUUGAUUUUCGAGCCCAAGUCGGUUUCAAUGUGAGCGCUGCGACCACGGACAACCAGAGGUCUCCCAGAGAGGACCUCUGUCCCUCCCGGGUCCGAGGUUUCCCACGCUGCCGCUGUCCAGCCUCGCGCCCAGCCCCCGCCCCAGGGAACGCCAUCUCUCACCUGAGGCUGCGGGCAACACCCACGGCGCCCCAGCGACCAGCAUGAGGGUCGUCGCGCCCAGGAGCGCGAGCAUAGUCCGCGGGCCGCCGGCAGCCCUCCAGUCACAUCUUCUGCCACCGCAGUAUUGCUACAUGACAUGCUAAUGUUUUAUACUUAUUAAAGAAAAGAUGCUGAAACCCCCACCAGGUGGAAGAAGUUAACUGUAUGCUGCCCACAAGCACGUAGAUCCCAGACCGGUUGGAACCAGAAGGUUGAUAAUGCUGACUCCCAAUUACCUCACCACCAACGAAUCAGAAGAAUGUCCACAAGCUGAUCACACCCUGCUCCUGGAACACUGCAAGACUCUUCACUACCCACUGCAGGCCGGGACACACAGGCUUGAGGGCUUUAGCCCACUGUGGCCCCCUUUGCCAGGCAAAGCAAUAAAGCUAUUUCUUUCUACUUCACCCAAAA